AUAUUAAUCGGAUAUAGUUUAGUCACUUCCCCUUGAGCUUUGGAGUUUGAUGAUGCUAGUUGCUUUAAAUGUGCUUCUGCUUUGCUAUGUACAGUUUAGUAAUUUGUUAACUUUUCUCAUAUUCUUGACAUUUACAUAUUUAAUAUGUGAGCAUUCCAAAAUGAGCAUUAACUGUUUUACUCUGUUGAGUAUUUAUCAAUAUGUUAUUUUGUUAUAUUUGUUAAAUAUAUUUAUAUAUUAUGUAAAACCCUAAUUUGUGUAAUUAGUUAGUUUAAGUAUUAAGGAUGUACUUACGUGAGGUGUAGGAAUUUGUGUUAGAUGUUUGGACUCUUUAGUUUUUUCCUCCAUUCAAGGUAAAAUAUUUUGCCCCAUAACACCCAUUUAUAUUUUCAUAUAAGACAUGUAAGACUUGAUUUCUCUUCUUUUGAUUUGAGACCCAAAUAAGACAAAUUUUGCAAAUUUAUAUAAGGUAAAAGUCAGAGUCAGUCUCUUCCUGCCAUAUUAAAAAAAAAACAAAUAUCUUGAAAAAAGAGCUCUGACAAUGACCUAUCAAUAUUUUUAGCUUAUUUGUUCUUUAACUGAUUCUCUUCUGGCUUGAAGCAUCAAUAUUAAAUUUUUUUUUUAAUUUCACCUAAGUACAUCCUUAAAUCUGCUAAAGUUUUGCACUCUUUAGUUAGUGAAAUUAAAUGUUUGAAUUGCAUUCAAUAUUUUUGGUACAUUGUCUCAGUUUUUUUUAGUAUAGUUUGCACUAAGUGAUUAACAUCCCCAAAUUCACUGAAGGGUUAAUUACUGCACAUGCCUCAAAACAGAAAUUAACUGUAUAAAACAUUGGGAAAGAUACUAUUUGUACACAUAUUUUGAUAUUAAUCAGUAAAUGGUAAUAGUUAACAGUCAAUUCAUUCAAGAAGUAAAAAAGAAAAAGGAAAAGUCAAAUCUCCUUCCUAGUGCCAUCAACAGUGAUGCAUGACUGUAUCCAUACAUUUUCAUAAAAGUCUGAUAUAUGGUUUUUGGUUUGUAAAAUUUUAGCUAUCUUCUGAUGGUCCUGUUUUUGUAAGUACUCACUAGUACUGCAUGGCACUGAGGUGUAUAUGCUUCAGAUGAUAUUUAUCCCGAUAUGAAGCAAUUUAUUACAAAUUCUAGAUACAUGUAAAAAAAACUAUGUGUUUAAACAUAAUACAAUGUUAUUUCACAGUGUACAAUCAAAGCAAUUUUUACCACCAUUAGUGUUAAUAAGCACUUUAAAUAAUUAUAAUGUAAUUUGAUCUGUAUCAUGAAUUGCUUUAAAUACUUAUCUUGAGUAAACUGGUAUAAGUAUGUAAAACAAAAUGGAAAAAAAUCUAUUUAUAUUUUCCAAAUUGUAGUUUAUCAUAUGAUUAUACUUAUAAAAAUUAAUACUGCAGAUAUCUUUUAGUUUUGGAUAACAAUGAACUGAUAUGGAUUAAUCUGUAUAUAUGUACAUGAUAUAUGAAAUGAAAAUGUUCACAUUUGUGUUGUUUAAGUAUUCUGGUCUGAAAAAAGAGUAUUUAACUCUAAUAAUAUUAUGAUCUGAAGCAAACCUUGAUUUAAUUGAUGUAUUGCUAUUUAAAACAUCUCAAAUAUGUUUGUUAUAGGAUAAAACAUUAAUUUCCUUCAUAAGCUAUAUACUUUCUCAUGAUCAAAAUCUCUAUUUUUAUGAUAAUAUUAGCCAUCCAAU
rnacentral:lncRNA from 1 species